rnacentral:rRNA from 1 species
CCUACGGGGGGCAGCAGUGGGGAAUAUUGCACAAUGGGGGAAACCCUGAUGCAGCGACGCCGCGUGAAGGAAGAAGGAUUUCGGUACGUAAACUUCUAUCAGCAGGGAAGAAAAUGACGGUACCUGACUAAGAAGCCCCGGCUAACUACGUGCCAGCAGCCGCGGUAAUACGUAGGGGGCAAGCGUUAUCCGGAUUUACUGGGUGUAAAGGGAGCGUAGGCGGUGCAGCAAGUCAGAAGUGAAAGCCCGGGGCUCAACACCGGGACUGCUUUUGAAACUGUUGAACUAGAGUGCAGGAGAGGAAAGUGGAAUUCCUAGUGUAGCGGUGAAAUGCGUAGAUAUUAGGAGGAACACCAGUGGCGAAGGCGGCUUACUGGACUGUAAAUGACGCUGAGGCUCGAAAGCGUGGGGAGCAAACAGGAUUAGAUACCCUAGUAGUC